UUGUUCGUCAGAAUAGCUACC
rnacentral:piRNA from 1 species